GUGAAGAACAGAGCGCCUCUCUUUCUGCUUACUCAUUUCGCCGCCGUUUUGUCUGCAUCGUAUCACUCUUUCACCUUUCUCAACUUCUUCAUCACUUGCCUAGACCGUCGUGGCCAUUACGUAGCCAUCACCUUCUCGCUCCUCAUUCGCUAACCAUAACAGUGUCACCAUUGUUCUUAUUCUUCUCCAUUCAUCACCGAUCUCAAACAUCGACUCCACCAACACAUCUCAAAGACCGAAUAAAUGGCAAUAGCAGAGGCAAAGAAAAAUGA